rnacentral:rRNA from 1 species
GACGAACGCUGGCGGCGUGCUUAACACAUGCAAGUCGAACGGAAAGGCAGUGCUUUUGUGGGGUGCCCGUGUCGAACACGGGUGUAAAACACGAGCAUAACCCGCCCUUGACUUUGAUAUGACUUCAGAAAGCUGGGGCUAAUACCGGAUAGGAGCUCCUGCUGCGUGGUGCGGGUUGGAAGAUUUCUGCGGUUGGGGAUGGGCUCGCGGCUUAUCAGCUUGUUGGUGGGGUAAUGGCUCACCAAGGCGUCGACGGGUAGCCGGCCUGAGAGGGUGACCGGCCACACUGGGACUGAGAUACGGCCCAGACUCCUACGGGAGGCAGCAGUGGGGAAUAUUGCACAAUGGGCGGAAGCCUGAUGCAGCAACGCCGCGUGAGGGAUGACGGCCUUCGGGUUGUAAACCUCUUUUAGCAGGGAAGAAGCGAAAGUGACGGUACCUGCAGAAAAAGCGCCGGCUAACUACGUG